CACCUUGUCUUCUUUAACAGACUAGAUCAAAUGUUAAUGCAUGGCUUUGGUUUUUGUAUUGACAGUCAAAAUAAGCAAGCUGAGAAGUACAUGAAAUAACGCCGCCACUAACUCCACAAACCGGAUGUGCCAGUUCUACGCCAAAGCCUCGCAAGAGUUUAAACCCCAAAAUGAAACUGAAACUGAAGUUUUUUGGGACUGGAUUGAGAUUGGAAGAUUUGAUCCAUGAAGGUGAACUGUGUGUUUUGAAGAACACUGCAGUUAGUUGGCCACAGCUGAUGUAAAUAACAUUGAUGAGCUUGUUGAAGAGUCGCUGUGGCUGUUAGCCAGCGACAGUACAUGCAAAUACAUUUUACAGUGCAACUAUGAGGAACGAGUCUUUUGUGAAACCAAAAAAAAAGGGUUUACAGAUGUGGAGAAGAACAUGUGGUUUGGCUCCAGUCAGACUUUAUUCACUUUUACAGGUUGCUGUUGUUGGUUUGCACCUCGCCAGCAGUCAAAAUGGAGGUGCGGCUCUGGUGUCAUCCGAAUGUUUCUUUUCAUCUGUGCCUGUCUGAGCAGCUCAGAUAAAUUAACAAACCAACUUAGAGUGUCAGUCUGAAGAAUCAUUUCUCUGUUCUCCAUUAGAAUAGCCGGACUACAGAUCCUCCCUUUCCAUUUUGCUGCCUGUCUCCUCCCAUCCGCGUCGCCCAACUCAUCUGUCAAUCCCGCUUUUUUCCCCCUGUGCCUCAGAGCAACAACACGUCCUCCUCCCCCUGCCUUUGAAGGCGUAAACCCAACCGGUGAGUUUAACGCAUUUCUAAUGAACCAACGCCGGAUGGAGUCUGGAGAUUAGUCAUCACACGUCGCCAACGUGGAUCACGUCCGCCGAGUGACAGGCAGCUGCUAAGAGGCCUUUCUGACCCACCGCUGAACACGGCCGGAUCUUCAGCAGCGAAGGUUCCAGUUAACCACGGACUCCUCUCUCCAUGUCGACUGAUUGCAUCAUCGGCUCGCCGCUGGCGUGAAAGUGGCUGAGUGAGAAAGUACAGGAUGUCUUUAUUGCUGUGGAGAGGGAAACCUUCUCCAACCGUCUCCACCUGCACUUAUCACUCGCUGAGCAGAAAAUUCACUGAAAGUUCCCUGUCUAACUGGCGUGCAUUCCUGUUGGAGAAAUCAUAAACUAAGCCUUCUAAACCUGCCUUCCACUGACCUAAAGAAGGAGGAAUGUCUCGGAACCAUCAGCAGAUCAUUUUCCUCACCGGCCAACCUCACGCGCCUUUCUUAAUUUGAUUGGCAUGUUCUAUUUAUUACCAUGCAACUGGGAUUUUAUCCGCUAUUUGCUUCCAGAUCAGCCUAUACGGAGAGGGAAGAGAGGCUCCCCUGUGGUAGUGGUGAUGUCACCAGUGCAGAGUAAAUACCCAAAGUGCAUCAUGUUAAAGUGGAAGAAAUGGAAAGGAUGUUUGUUUGGUGUGAAGAGGCGCGACGCUCAAACCGGCCACUCAUCAGGAGAAACUAGACUUACAAAUCUGCUCACAAAAAAACACUAAAAGCCAACUUUGGUUUUGAAGGCCAGUUAGGUGUACUUUUUUAGAGUGCUGAUUAUUUUUAAUGACACAAAUCACGGGGUGACAUUUUCAGAUAUGUCAUUUUUUUAAAUUUCAAUCACAACCUCUCUUUGGGGUUGACUGAUGAAUCACAGCAACCUUUUCUCCCUCCGAAUUCAUUUGUAUCUCUUUGGAGUAAGAGCCUUGCUGCAGCUGUCUGUGCCGUGUGAGGGUGGGGGGGGGGCAGAAGCUGGGGGAGAACAGCUCGAAAAUGGCUUCUCUCGGUGGCAGCGUAUCACCAUCUAAAUCUCUCCCCCCACAUCGGGGGAGCAGAGCUGUGACUACUGGGAUUAGGCUAAUCACACAUUCACCCAGGAGGCUGCACACACAGGAGAUCCUGCGUAAGGCAUGACCUUAUUUCAGACGGGUUUCUAUAGACGCUCUUUUGCUGGCAUCUCGAAGCCAAUGCUUAUGCUGAGAUUUACUUAUUGGGGCUGCGCUUUAUUCCAGUUUGUCCCUUUACGCUGCAUUUUACACUUCAUUGACACGCAAACAUCCUUUUAUGAGCCGAUUCUUUUUUUUUUUUUUCACUACAUUAUUACAACUCACAAAUUGGUGUAUGUGAAAAAUAACUGUGCUCACAUAAGAUUCUCAAUUAAAUUGCGUCAUGUUUUUAAUAUUGUACAUUCUGUUAAAAUGAUUUGUAUUGAUAUUAUUAUGUGUGCAUAAAUUCAAGGCAAAUUGAACAGUUGAAAUAUGAUUUAAUGUAUUGUUUAUUUUAUUAAUUGUGAUAAAUACUAAAAGUACAUAUAAAAAAAGUCUUGAUAGACUAUUUGGAACUGUUCAUGGCAAAUUCAAUAUAAAAGUUGCUAAAGAUUAAGUGUAUUAAAU